rnacentral:lncRNA from 1 species
UGGAUAUACAGGUAUCGACAACAAAACCACACAUGCCGUUGCUCUGCUCCUGCGGCAGUAGCAGGGCAACUUGCUGCUGCUACAAAAUGCAACAAUGCCUAUCUUGGCAUCAUCGGCUCAUGUGGGUGCCGUAUGGUUGGACUUGGGGGAUGAGGUUGGUGACCAGACCAGCUCGCCGUAACUUGUUCUACCUAGCCUAGAUUAGGGUCCCGAAAUAUUAAAACCUUUGGAUGCUAGUAUCGGCCGGCCGGGAUCCAGGAUGACCCGUGAUCGAAGCAGGUAUUUGCAGUGUAGUGCCAGAAUUUAUCUACCGCUACUCCAGCACAACCAGUACGUUUCAUCUCACCGCGCACACGAGGAUUGAUUAGACUUUUUCAGUCGGAUGAUUGGAUAGGAUUUUUGUUCAAGGUCACGAAUCACGCUAAGUCGUCUGGUUGGAUCCCUCUGUUCUAAAAUACUGUACGUUGCCGCCGCAUUGUCAUCAACCGGGUUAAAUCAAAUGCAUAAAUACACAUGAAUAUAUGUUUAAAAAUAAGAAAAAUAUAAAAAGUGUUCU